CCUACGGGUGGCAGCAGUGGGGAAUAUUGGACAAUGGGCGAAAGCCUGAUCCAGCCAUGCCGCGUGUGUGAAGAAGGCCUUCGGGUUGUAAAGCACUUUCAGUGGGGAAGAAAGCCUUGGGGCUAAUACCCUCGAGGAAGGACAUCACCCACAGAAGAAGCACCGGCUAACUCCGUGCCAGCAGCCGCGGUAAUACGGAGGGUGCGAGCGUUAAUCGGAAGUACUGGGCGUAAAGCGCGCGUAGGCGGUCUGAUAAGCCGGUUGUGAAAGCCCCGGGCUCAACCUGGGAACGGCAUCCGGAACUGUCAGGCUAGAGUGCAGGAGAGGAAGGUAGAAUUCCCGGUGGAGCGGUGAAAUGCGUAGAGAUCGGGAGGAAUACCAGUGGCGAAGGCGGCCUUCUGGACUGACACUGACGCUGAGGUGCGAAAGCGUGGGUAGCAAACAGGAUUAGAUACCCCUGUAGUC
rnacentral:rRNA from 1 species